GUAGGUGGCAAGCGUUGUCCGGAAUUAUUGGGCGUAAAGCGCGCGCAGGCGGUUCUUUAAGUCUGAUGUGAAAGCCCACGGCUCAACCGUGGAGGGUCAUUGGAAACUGGAGAACUUGAGUACAGAAGAGGAAAGCGGAAUUCCACGUGUAGCGGUGAAAUGCGUAGAGAUGCGGAGGAACACCAGUGGCGAAGGCGGCUUUCUGGUCUGUAACUGACGCUGAGGCGCGAAAGCGUGGGGAGCAAACAGGAUUAGAUACCCUGGUAGUCCACGCCGUAAACGAUGAGUGCUAAGUGUUAGGGGGGUUUCCGCCCCCCUUAGUGCUGCAGCUAACGCAUUAAGCACUCCGCCUGGGAGUACGGCCGCAAGGCUG
rnacentral:rRNA from 1 species